rnacentral:rRNA from 1 species
GAUGAACGCUGGCGGCGUGCCUAAUACAUGCAAGUCGAGCGGAUGAGGGGUGCUUGCACUCCGAUUCAGCGGCGGACGGGUGAGUAAUGCCUAGGAAUCUGCCCGAUAGUGGGGGACAACGUUUCGAAAGGAACGCUAAUACCGCAUACGUCCUACGGGAGAAAGUGGGGGCUCUUCGGACCUCACGCUAUCGGAUGAGCCUAGGUCGGAUUAGCUAGUUGGUGGGGUAAAGGCUCACCAAGGCGACGAUCCGUAACUGGACUGAGAGGAUGAUCAGUCACACUGGAACUGAGACACGGUCCAGACUCCUACGGGAGGCAGCAGUGGGGAAUAUUGGACAAUGGGCGAAAGCCUGAUCCAGCCAUGCCGCGUGUGUGAAGAAGGUCUUCGGAUUGUAAAGCACUUUAAGUUGGGAGGAAGGGCUGUAAGCGAAUACCUUGCAGUUUUGACGUUACCGACAGAAUAAGCACCGGCUAACUUCGUGCCAGCAGCCGCAGUAA